rnacentral:rRNA from 1 species
UACGAAGGGGGCUAGCGUUGCUCGGAAUGACUGGGCGUAAAGCGUGCGCAGGCGGUUCUGCAAGUCAGAUGUGAAAUCCCCGGGCUUAACCUGGGAACUGCGUUUGAAACUACGGAGCUAGAGUGCGGCAGAGGGGGGUGGAAUUCCACGUGUAGCAGUGAAAUGCGUAGAUAUGUGGAGGAACACCGAUGGCGAAGGCAGCCCCCUGGGCCGACACUGACGCUCAGGCACGAAAGCGUGGGGAGCAAACAGG